GAUGAACGCUAGCGGCAGGCUUAACACAUGCAAGUCGAGGGGUAUAGUUCUUCGGAACUAGAGACCGGCGCACGGGUGCGUAACGCGUAUGCAAUCUACCUUUCACAAAGGGAUAGCCCCAGAGAAAUUUGGAUUAAUACCUUAUAGUAAUACGACUUGGCAUCAAGAUGUAUUUAAAGACUUAUCGGUGAAAGAUGAGCAUGCGUCCCAUUAGCUUGUUGGUAAGGUAACGGCUUACCAAGGCAACGAUGGGUAGGGGUCCUGAGAGGGAGAUCCCCCACACUGGUACUGAGACACGGACCAGACUCCUACGGGAGGCAGCAGUGAGGAAUAUUGGACAAUGGGCGCAAGCCUGAUCCAGCCAUGCCGCGUGCAGGAUGACGGUCCUAUGGAUUGUAAACUGCUUUUGUACAGGAAGAAACCCUUUCACGUGUGGAAGAUUGACGGUACUGUAAGAAUAAGGAUCGGCUAACUCCGUGCCAGCAGCCGCGGUAAAG
rnacentral:rRNA from 1 species